UGGUUAUGGGCUGUUCUAGAACUGCAGCGAAAGAGGAGGCUUCUUUGUGGUGUGGUUAUGGGCUGUUCCUAGAACUGCAGCGAAAGAGGAGGCUUCUUUGUGGUGUGGUUAUGGGCUGUUCCUAGAACUGCAGCUGAAGAGGAGGCUUCUUUUCCACUUCUUCUGUGUUUGUCUGCCAUUUGUGCAAAACGCAAAAUGUAUAGACAUGAAUAGACUCACAAGCAUCAUCACCUUACCUCUUUCUAUCCAGUUAUUUACCCGCUUUUACAGAACGGUGACGUCAGCUUUUUUUGUGUUCAUCUAUGAAACCAGCAACAACUAUUUUUUAAUAGAAGCUUUACCAACUGCUUACAAUGAAACAGAACAGCAUAUGGACAGAAUAUUUGUGUACAGUUUCAAUAAUGUAUUUUUGUUUGUGAGAGGUCCUGGGGAAAGGGUGGAGAUGUAUUACAAGGGGGGUUGACAAGUAUUUAAAUGUCUUAUUCAUAUAUUGAUAUAAAAUCCUUGUAGGAAGAUAAAACAUUUUGUUGGGGGGGAAUGGUAGUUACACUUUAUUGUAAUCUUGUCUGCAGAACCAUUGAAUUUUGUGAAGAUGUGUUGCAGUAGUUCUGAAUGUGUCCCUGUAUCGAACAAACCCAAAAACCAUCAUGUUCACAUUGGUCACGUUUUCCAACUCCAGAACUUCUCUGGGCUUUGUUUUGUAGCAUUCUUCCUAAAAAUCAAUGUUACUAUUCAACGUUGUUUGUUCGUAUGACUAUUCUUUUUAUGUUUAUUUUGUGAAUAUAUUAACCUCACGAGGUGAUCCGAGAAAAUGCUUUGAUUAUGAAAUUAUGAUCCUUUUUUGAGAUUUUAGAGAGAGGUAAAUUGAAUUUCUACUCCAGUAAACAAAACCUGCAUUUUCAAAUGGUAUGUUAACUAUCUUUAUAGAGGUGCUAUCCUGUAUGACUGGGGAAGCAUGUUUCUCAUACCCACAGUCACAUUAUACAUAGUGCAAGCCUUUGUGUGUGAAUCAAAUCUGUUAAUGUCAUACUAGCCAUGUAAUUGAACUGUUAUUACAGUAGAAUGUCAUGACAGAUCAAUGUUCCUAUGUGGAAACCUACUGUGAAGAGGCUUUAUUUCAUAGGAAUUAAACUGAGUUGUUAUAGCCAGCUUGUGUAGUGUUCCUUUCCUUUUGCAUCUCUUAUAACCCAUCUCUUAUAACACAUCUCUUAUAACACGUCUCUUAUAACACGUCUCUUAUAACCCAUCUCUUAUAACCCAUCUCUUAUAACACAUCUCUUCUCCCGCUCUCCUCCUCUGCCGUCUGUCCUUGCUCAUCCUGCACACCACUCAUUCCCUGCAGGCCAAUGCGGCUGGAGCUCAGCGGAGGUAUAACUACAGCUGUUACUGCUCCCCUGUUCUCUGGCAACAACACAAGCAGACUCCCAAAGAGGCUCAUGUUUUAAAGGAGGGGAAAGUGUUCCAAAGCCCAUAGGGGGUCACCAUUUUGAUUUUUACUGCCCUUUAAGUGUAUUUCUCCAUCUGCCAAGUGAAAUCUUGCCGUCGAAUUCUCUACCCUUCUCUAAAACUGUGCUCAUACAUUCCCCUUCGUGGCUUUAAAGGAAUGGACUGGUGUGAAGAAUAUGGUGUAAACUCUCUCCAACCAUACUUGUGCACCAAUCCAAUGCCUUUAAAC
ensembl:lncRNA